UUUGAACGAGAUCUAGUAAGUAGUUUUUUUUUAAUACGUCAUGAAAUUUAAAAAAAAAAAUUUUUUUCAUCAUACCCAUACGUGUGGGGUAUCUAUGGAUAGGUCUUCAAAAAUGAUAUUAAGGUUUCUAAUAUCAUUUUUUUCUAAACUGAAUAGUUUGCGCGAGAGAACCUUCCAAAGUGAAAAAAAAUUUUUUUUUUUAAUUUCAUAGGUGGCGUUUACAUUUCUAAAAGUUGUAUAUACGUAUACUAUUUUAUAUCCCUUCGUGUGUGGAAUUCCCUCAGCGGGAGGGCAAAAAAUGGCCACGGCUGCGGGCCUCUAUUUUGCACAUUUUGUCGCGUCUGUCGGGGAUUGGGCGGGCCAACACACCAUCGUCCAAUUAAACACGGAAAGUUUAUUGACAAUAUUAAACAACUGUAGCCUAUCCUUGUCUAAUGAUCUCCCAUUGUUAUAUCUUAGAGCAGUGCAGAGCCUAUUUUUGGCACUCAACUUUCCGUCAAGAAACCCGCAGACGCACCGAUAACCCUUUCUGGCAUCAGCAUAUGUGCAAAAUGGUUGUCUGACACACGAAGGGAUAUCCAGUUAUUUUAUGAAUAUAUAUUAUUUAUUUUUAAGUUUAAUUACCAGAUUAAAUAGUAAUAAUGUUAUUUAACACACAAUGUUCUGAAAGUACGAUUGUUUAAUUUGGAUUUUAUAAUAAUUGAAAUGAAACUAAAUUGACGAAAGCUUAACCCAAUCAAAUGGAUUCGAAACUACUUUCACGGCAUUUUUUUUAUAAAGAAAUGUAACGCCAUCUAUCGAAGUAUUCACGUAAGUUUAAUAACCUCAUUUAAAAUAGUAAAUAGGGUGCCUACAUUCCAUGUGAAUUAUAGAAAUGGGUAAAUAUGGAUUUGUGUACAAUUGUACUCAGAAUUGUAAAUAAUAUUUUUUAAGAAUGUACUUUUGUAUCCAAUUUUUGUUUAUAAUAAAAGUUAUGGUAAACUUUA